CAAGAUUAUACAGAUAAUGUUUAUCCUUCUUAAGUCAAACUGUUCAAGUUUUUAAAAUCAUUUACAUAUAAGCAAUUAAUAUGCUCAAUACAAGAGUACUUAUGUAUUCAUUAGAACAAUUCCUAUGGGACCACUACUUGACAAGGCUAUGAGUAUGAUUAAAUAUAAAUUAUAUGUAAAUGACUAAAUGAAAGCAACAGGCAUUUAGGAAA
rnacentral:miRNA from 1 species